rnacentral:rRNA from 1 species
CAGCAGCCGCGGGAAUACGGAGGGUGCAAGCGUUAAUCGGAAUUACUGGGCGUAAAGCGCACGCAGGCGGUCUGUCAAGUCAGAUGUGAAAUCCCCGGGCUUAACCUGGGAACUGCAUUUGAAACUGGCAGGCUAGAGUCUUGUAGAGGGGGGUAGAAUUCCAGGUGUAGCGGUGAAAUGCGUAGAGAUCUGGAGGAAUACCGGUGGCGAAGGCGGCCCCCUGGACCAACACUAACACUGAGGCACGAAAGCGUGGGGAGCAAACAGGAUUAGAUACCCCAGUAGUCCCUGUCUCUUAUAC